rnacentral:rRNA from 1 species
GGGUUUGAUUCUGGCUCAGAACGAACGCUGGCGGCAGGCCUAACACAUGCAAGUCGAGCGCUACCUUCGGGUGGAGCGGCGGACGGGUUAGUAACGCGUGGGAACGUACCCAGAUCUAAGGAAUAGCCACUGGAAACGGUGAGUAAUACCUUAUACGCCCUUCGGGGGAAAGAUUUAUCGGAUUUGGAUCGGCCCGCGUUAGAUUAGAUAGUUGGUGGGGUAAUGGCCUACCAAGUCUACGAUCUAUAGCUGGUUUUAGAGGAUGAUCAGCAACACUGGGACUGAGACACGGCCCAGACUCCUACGGGAGGCAGCAGUGGGGAAUCUUGGACAAUGGGCGCAAGCCUGAUCCAGCCAUGCCGCGUGAGUGAUGAAGGCCUUAGGGUCGUAAAGCUCUUUCGCCAGAGAUGAUAAUGACAGUAUCUGGUAAAGAAACCCCGGCUAACUCCGUGC